CUACAGAGGGUGCAAGCGUUAUUCGGAAUUACUGGGCGUAAAGCGCGCGUAGGCGGAUGAUUAAGUCAGUUGUGAAAGCCCUGGGCUCAACCUAGGAACUGCAUCUGAUACUGGUCAUCUAGAGUUUAAGAGAGGGAAGUGGAAUUCCAGGUGUAGCAGUGAAAUGCGUAGAUAUCUGGAGGAACAUCAGUGGCGAAGGCGACUUCCUGGCUUAGAACUGACGCUGAGGUGCGAAAGCGUGGGUAGCGAACGGGAUUAGAAACCCUAGUAGUCC
rnacentral:rRNA from 1 species